UGAUCAUUAUCAUAGUAUUCUGGAUGAAAUUUGCCCAAUGCCAUUAACAUAAGAGAGGUAAUGGGUAACUGUUACUGAUCGAAAGUCUGGUUAAUAGCGGUCUUAACUAUGAGGAUCCAAAGGUAGCAAAAUAAAUUGGCCAUUAAAUGUGGUCUUGUAUCAAUAAUGUAACGAUGGUCUCACUGUCUCUACAACUUGCUCAGUGAAAUUGAAUUACCCGUGCAGAUGCGGGUUACCUCCAGGGGGACGGGAAGACCCUAUGCAGCUUCUACUG
rnacentral:rRNA from 1 species